rnacentral:lncRNA from 1 species
CUUUUGUACAUAUACAUGAAAAAGAGAAGUGCCCUUUCCUCUUCUGAUUGUUGUUCUCUCCUUACUUUCUCCCAAGGAGGACCAGAACCUUCUCCUGGCAGCUGCCUAUGUUUCUGAUGCCCAGUACAACAGAAAUGUUCCAUUUGAAACGUCUCCUCGGGCCAUCAGGUAAAUAAAGUAUUAAACUGUCUCCUAGAGCAACCUGUCCUUUAGUACUUACCAGUCUUGAAGUUGAACCCAAACUGAAGACAUUGUCUCCACAAACAUUUUGAGAAGUCUCUAGGAUAAGGCAUGGAGAUUUGGAUAAAAUCCUAACAUCCAAUGCUUUUAUUUUUUUUUUAAGUUAUAAGAGCAUGGUGUCUCACACAUAGGGAAGCACUCAAUAAAUACAUUAAGGACAGAUAAAUGAGUACAUGACUAACAUAUAGAGCAGGAGAUAGGGCAUCUGAAGUGAAUCACAUCAUCCUUUCCUUGUAGAUAAGGUUGUCCUCUUAGAGCCGCUUAGGCGAAAAGACUUGUUCUUUUUCUUUCUGGUGCCUUCUGAUGCAAUCCAUAUAUUUGUUCUUUUCGUAAGAAUCAUGCCUUUUCUCUCCCACCCCCUGAAUGUUGAACUAAGACCAAAGAUUUGGCUCAAAAUAAGGAAAAAACAUCAGGGCUCCGUGCCAGUGCCUCCAAAGCAACGAACAAACGCACGCCUCAUUCCUGGAAGCUUCGAGCAGGUUGGGGAGACUGUCCCCCACCUCUAGGAAGAGAACUGUGAGACCACAAGAUCUCUCUGAAUCUACCAUGUUGAGAUGGGGUGGUGCACAUUUAAAUUGAUUAGGCUACCAUGCCACAGCAUAAUAGGUCACUUUAACUGAGGGUUUACUGUGCAUCAGUCACCGUUCAAAGUCCUCUGAAAGUAUUCUUUUUAUUACGGUCACAACCGCUAUGCAGGAGGUACUGAUCAUAGCUUGAGAUACUUAAGAGACUGUGGUUUGAGAUGCGAUACUAUUGUUGCCUUUUUUUUUCUGUUAGUGUCUUGUAAUGUGUGCUCAAUUCAGUGCUGUCUCUUGCUCCCUAAGAUUUAAAGGAAAUGUGGCCAGAGCCCUAUUUUGUAUUUUGCCCACCGUUAGUCUUUUAGUGGGAAGUGUGAGUUUUGUUUAACUCCUGCUCCUUGUAUAUAAACACCUUUAUUCUUUUCAUCUUCAGACUUUACUAUUUUUAUAACCACUGGACAAUGCAAGUAGCCAUCUACUUCUUUAUUUGUGUCGACCUCUCUCUCGCCCUGUUUGAAGAACCGGCACUGUUUCCCCUGCCUUUCUUGGUAAGGAUUAAAAACAAAAUGGCUAACCAGACUUUGUCAUUGAUGAGUUGGGCCCCAUGCAUUCUUCCUUUUUUUUUUUUUCAAAUUUCAAUAAAUAUGAGUGUGGUUUUCUUUUAUUAUUAUUUUUAAAUGUUUGUUUAUUUUGAGAGAGAGAGAGAAAGAGAGAGAGGGCGCUUGUCUGCACCUGUGUGUGCACAGGGGAGGGGCCAAGAGAGGGAGACAGAGAAUCCCAAGCGGGCUCCUUACUGUCAGUGCAGAGCCUGACGCUGGGCUCAAACUCAAACUCGUGAACUGUGGGAUCAUGACCGGGGCCAAAAUCAAGAGUUGGAUGUUUGCCUGACCGAGCCACACAGGUGCCCUGGAUGAGGUUUUAUUUUCAUUGCUGGGGUUUGUUUGGAAGAACUCUGCCUACUCGCUGAGCUGAUGCUUCCGUCUUAAUUAUAAGGCAUUUUAAAUGGAGUAGAGGUUUUUGUCUUCCAUGUCCACAGGGAUGAAUUGGGUAGACAAAUGAUAUUUUCAGAGCGUAUCCAUGAAAGGGCGAGUAGACAAUGUCAUAAUUUAGUGUGAUACGCAACUUGUACUUGCCACGUUUCCAGCUUUUUUUCAUAGUCCUAAAUCACUAUUUAUUGGCACUUAGCAGCUGGUCACGUACGGUUUUGAGUAAUCGCAUCAAAUUCACCAGCUACUCCGGCUCGGUCCAAGUAUGAAAUUGAUGAUCCGCUCAUGUUAAUUCCCGACUUGAUGCUGCCCCUGCAGUUGUUGCAGAGACUGGGUGACUGGCAAGGCCCAGAAUAUCUACGGUCUGGUCCUUCAACAGAUAAAGUUCACUGACCCCUAUCUUUAUUACCUCCCCUGAUUCUGUGGGUAACUGGGCCCAGGCCGGAAAGAUUUCCUGCUCCUGUGUCAUUAGCUGGGGUAACAAUAUCUGGAAGCUCCGUGGAUCUCUGGAGGCUGGCAGGUGCUGCUGGCCGCGAGCUGGGAGCUUGCCUGGCUGGAGCCGUGGACCAAGUGCCCUGCUGUGUUACGCAGCUGCUGCAUGUGGUGUAGGUUUCUCCCAGUGGGGGAGGAGCAGGGCCAAGCAGGAGCAUCCGAGUGUACAAGCCUCCACUUCCGUCAGCUUGUUGAUGUCCUCUCGGCCAAAGCCCCUGAGAUGCCGGAGCCCCGAGUCAACAUGGGAGGACGCUGCAUACGGGGCUGAAAACUGGGAGCGUGGUUCACCGGGGGCCACCAAAGUGAUGGUGUAACACACUUCUGUAUGAUGAAGAGGCUACAAUUAGUGAAGUCUCUGCAUAGAAAACUUGUAGCCCAGUGACUAUCAAAACAAACCCCAGAGUUGGGAGAAGCAGAGCUGUGCAUUCAGAGACCCAGACGGUCACUCCCUCCCUAGCACGGCCCACUCUGGACGCGAUGAGACUUCCCUGGGGUUGUCUGCUCAGCCCCUUGCCUCUCUUCCCGAGUCCUCACCCUUCCGUUUGUUUUUGGUCACGUGCAGCUUCAGGUUGGCUGAGUUCAGGGUGCUCCUUCAGCCGGUGUUUGGACCUCUGGUCUCUAGAAUCGAAUGUGUCAUGGGGGGGCUUUGGCCCAGAUGCAGCAUUACCAAGCACAUCUUAUUUUGAGCAGAGGUGUCCUGGAAUUGCCCCAGGCCCUGUUGCAAACCUGGCCUUGACAGGGAGUCUCUAGAGUCCUUCGAGGAUGAAUAGGCUGAGGGCUAGACGGUUCGGAAGCGGCUGUAGCCCAUGUCCACGCCCAGGACCCAUGAAGGCUGGGGUGGGGAGGGGAAGACUGUGUCAAGUGCUGCUUUCAGGGCCCAGUCUCCCCAUCUCUUCGUACUGUGGCACCCUCCUCACCCCCUGAUGAAGGCAAGUGUCCUUGUUGGGGAGGAGUUACCGCCUCAGGGAAUCACAGGAAAGCCCGGGCUGCGAUCACAGGCUGCCAGUCUAGCUGCCUGUAGGGAUUUUGGAGCUGGUGUCCUGUAACCUACAGAGGAGACGGUCAGGACUUGGCACUGGGUCUCAGUGGCCUCCCUUCUUUCCUCUAAACCAGCCACACACGGGCGGAGGGCGGCAGUGGCACUGAUGGCUAAGGAAUGACCCACAUCUCAAAACACGUCUUUGGGAGGUUACUCUCCUGUUAGAGAAACUGAACUUCUAGAUGCCUUUUGUAAAUAUGAACUUGAAAUUGGAGAGCACAGAAGAUGCCUGUGUCUGCCGUCCCGGACCUCCCGUCCUCUGGGGAAAUGCCUUCUGGGUGCUCUGCCUGCUGAUCCAGCCCCUCCCAGGAAGCCCUCCCUGCCUGUUGGGUCAUGGGAUUCGUGACUCAAGGGCAGGUUUCCUCUCAAGAGGAAGAAACCAUUCCAACUAGCACAGAAUUUGACUGCGAUUUGCCGCAGUCAAAAGGGACAGUGCUAAUUCUUAGAGGGGGCAUCAAGGUGGCUUGGGCGGCUGGGAGGGUUGCGAGAGAGCUAAAGCUGAACCUCCAAGAGGCGGGGCGCUGUGUUUAGUCUCUGUUUUCUGCGUGCAGGCUACCUCGUUAGCAGAAGUACUCUGUCUGACUGCAUUCUUUGGGAGACUUGUACAUUUUGCAAAAGUCACUCCUCAAAUGGUUUUCUGGAAGGAUACGAAAAACAUCUGCAUCAUGGUAACCAUCGUGGUGAGUGCUCAUUAUAGUACCCUGAAGAUUUUGUGGUCAAAGGCAGAAACUAUGAAGACAAAAGCCUGAAUAGAUUUGAUCUGGUUAAAAGCAACAGUGACAGACGUCGGCACAGCAAACACCAUUAGCACAAGUGCAAGC